UUGAACGCUGGCGGCAUGCCUUACACAUGCAAGUCGAACGGCAGCACGGGAGCAAUCCUGGUGGCGAGUGGCGAACGGGUGAGUAAUAUAUCGGAACGUGCCCAGUCGUGGGGGAUAACGUAGCGAAAGCUACGCUAAUACCGCAUACGAUCUAUGGAUGAAAGCGGGGGAUCGCAAGACCUCGCGCGAUUGGAGCGGCCGAUAUCAGAUUAGGUAGUUGGUGAGGUAAAGGCUCACCAAGCCGACGAUCUGUAGCUGGUCUGAGAGGACGACCAGCCACACUGGGACUGAGACACGGCCCAGACUCCUACGGGAGGCAGCAGUGGGGAAUUUUGGACAAUGGGCGCAAGCCUGAUCCAGCAAUGCCGCGUGCAGGAUGAAGGCCUUCGGGUUGUAAACUGCUUUUGUACGGAACGAAACGGUAAGCUCUAAUACAGUUUGCUAAUGACGGUACCGUAAGAAUAAGCACCGGCUAACUACGUG
rnacentral:rRNA from 1 species